rnacentral:rRNA from 1 species
CAUCUCCUAAGGCUAAAUACUCUCUAGUGACCGAUAGUGAACCAGUACCGUGAGGGAAAGGUGAAAAGCACCCCGGAAGGGGAGUGAAAUAGAACCUGAAACCGUGUGCUUACAAGUAGUCAGAGCCCGUUAAUGGGUGAUGGCGUGCCUUUUGUAGAAUGAACCGGCGAGUUACGAUUUGAUGCAAGGUUAAGCAGUAAAUGUGGAGCCGUAGCGAAAGCGAGUCUGAAUAGGGCGUUUAGUAUUUGGUCGUAGACCCGAAACCAGGUGAUCUACCCUUGGUCAGGUUGAAGUUCAGGUAACACUGAAUGGAGGACCGAACCGACUUACGUUGAAAAGUGAGCGGAUGAACUGAGGGUAGCGGAGAAAUUCCAAUCGAACCUGGAGAUAGCUGGUUCUCUCCGAAAUAGCUUUAGGGCUAGCCUCAAGUGAUGAUUAUUGGAGGUAGAGCACUGUUUGGACGAGGGGCCCCUCUCGGGUUACCGAAUUCAGACAAACUCCGAAUGCCAAUUAAUUUAACUUGGGAGUCAGAACAUGGGUGAUAAGGUCCGUGUUCGAAAGGGAAACAGCCCAGACCACCAGCUAAGGUCCCAAAAUAUAUGUUAAGUGGAAAAGGAUGUGGCGUUGCCCAGACAACUAGGAUGUUGGCUUAGAAGCAGCCAUCAUUUAAAGAGUGCGUAAUAGCUCACUAGUCGAGUGACACUGCGCCGA